rnacentral:sRNA from 1 species
UCGCAAUCCCAGCCUGGCAACCGGCAAGUUUGCGGGCCUUAUUUCAUGAUUCUCCAGAGUCAGCAGAGUAACAGGAUGUAUUACUCUGCCUUUGGCAAUCUUACCCACUCCCGUCUCCACCACGCACUACUAUAGCACUCAACUCGCCAUGCAGUACCUUUUUUGCCGUUUAGGACGCUUUCCAUCAACAAAUUUCUCAUCUGCGAUUCCGAGUCAUUUGAAUAUCGAUGACGAUACCUCCAUGUAAAUUGGCCUCUAGUUUUGCAUUUUGCAUCUAUUGCUCCAAUUUCUCCAGGUCUUACGGACAGCCUUGGUUGUCUCGGCAGCAAUAACGCGAUGAGAGUAAACAAAAUCACUACCAAGUACUCUUACGUCGUCACCUUGCAAGCCUUCUUUUGCUCUCUACAAUCUUGGGGAAACACGAAAAAGAUGAUUCAUCAUAAGCAUCAUGCACGACUUUGACUCCAUCCAGCAAUAUCUCGUCGACCCUUGCGGAACCAUUACACUGGGGAUUAUUAGUAGGAAACCAAUUUUAUCGGACAAUAAUUUCGAGGUCUUUGAAUUCGGCGGAGUUGUACUUGAGGAAGAGUUCAUGAAAUCGACUAUGAAUCUGUCUUUGAGAAAAGGAGGAAAAAUAUCUACAUCCCUUUUCAACCAAUCCUGAGGAACAGACUUUUAUCUCCUCAAUUCCUCCAAAACAGCCGUCCCAUCUCCCCUCGGUGAGAUAUGUAUACUGCUCUCCAUGUUGGAUAUGCACCUCCUCCGCCUUGCACUUCACCACUAGUACCUGUCCCAUGGUCAUCUCGCAUUGACGAAGAGUUUCCGAUACCGGAAUCGUCGAUGAUAAGGUGGGGGGAGGAAGAGGUAAGGUGGAUAAGGAAGAAACAUAGACGAUGCGGUUUCGGAUGAAGGGAAUGAAAGCGACUCGUUGUGGGUACGGAGCCAGGGAGGUACUUGUGCUGGCUGAGAAUGCGUCUGAAAAGGAGUGAGCUAUAAUUGGUGAAAUGGAUGUCAAGGAGUUAUUCUUUUCAUGGCGUGGAUGGUAAGCCUCACUUCGGUUUUAUCCUCAUCCCCCGUGACGUAUCAGAAUUGAAAACGGCAAAAGCGACGUUCUUUUCCACUGCAUCACAAGAUAAUCACCUUGGGAAGACCAGUGUACCACAAUGUGUCUCAUGAGGUUGAUAGUCAUAGAAGUCCGUUUCCUACACCACGUUUAUUUCUUCAGCAUUUGCCCUCUCCUUUUAAGGCAACAGAACGGAUAAGGAGAGAUCGAAGAGAAACACAACUCUCAGGGUACUUCUCCGCCGACUCUUAUAAACUUGGCGUAACUAACUGUACCUCUGCAUCUUUUGUUCCCAUGCAUUCGGCCUAUCAAGGCCGAAUCAGGUUGUGCCAGCUCAAAAGGAUGACCAGCCAAGAGAGGGGGAUCGCCCUGCAUAGACGGUUACGUCGUAGUCUUUAACAAUUAACAUGGUAGACUUUGGAUUAUAGGUGAAUGACACUUCGAGGAAGGGGGAGGGAAACGAUAAAGUUAGAGAAGAGGAAAACCUAAUUGGAAAGUUCAAGAGCGCAGGCAAGUCCGAUAACGUUAGAACCGUGUACGGUAUCGCGAGGACGAGUGGAACUUGGGACAGGCCUCUUAUCUUCUCGCCUUGGUCUGAUCUAGAUAAAGAUGGGAAGGUGUUGAUUGUCUACUAGAAGGAAAAAGUAAGAGUUUGGCCCAGUCCUGACGUAUCCUUCUUGAUUGGUCCGAUUUUGCGGCCCGAGGUACAAGGCCUAAUUUUGUUUGGGAUCUGAUCAGCAAUCAUUGAUGUGUUGUGUUGUUGACGUUUUAUCACGAGGAGUCUGACGGUGCCGUGUAUGGAAUAAAAAAGGACGGGAGAAGAAAGGAGCUUUUCUAGUUUAUCUCGUUUUUGUUUGGUUUCGCAUGAUUUGAAUCUGAUCGGCUUUUGGUCAAUCUCCGACGAGUGAUUGAUCACCGUCAGCCGCAAAACGCCGCCUACAUACGUCCUUCGCCCAGAUCUCAGCGUAGUCACUCUUCUGGGAUGUGUUACCUUCCAACCUAUCUCUUAUGGAUGUAAACUGCCGAGGCCCUUUAUUUAGUGAUCACCGCGAUCCAAAUGUUGCAAGCCCCAAC